rnacentral:rRNA from 1 species
CCUGAGAANCCCGAAAGAUCGAAUGGGGAGAUUCAUCGUCAGCGAUUUUGGUACAUGUGCGGUCUCGCGAUGCCGGAGACUUCGGUCACCAGGCACGCGUCCGCAUGGUUUUUAUUGCCUUAAUCGUCGGCGUGCACUUCUCCCCUAGUAGGACGUCGCGACCCGUUGGGUGUCGGUCUACGGCCCGGGGCGGCGCCUGUCUCGUGUUCGCUUCGCGGCGUUACGCGGUUCAGACCCCCGGCUGCCCGACCGGCUGCCCGGCGGUACUCGUACGGUAUCUGGCCGCAAAUAUUCGAACUGCGUCCGGCCCGUCGCAAGCGCGGCAAGUGUGUCCCGGUUGUACGGAUCUAACGCCGUCACCGGGCCUUGCCCGCUGUUGGUUGACGGUGUCCUGGACUGGCUAUAAUAGAGAUACCGGUCGGCGACGCUACUGCUUUGGGUACUUUCAGGACCCGUCUUGAAACACGGACCAAGGAGUCUAACAUGUGCGCGAGUCAUUGGGAACUAUUAAGCCUAAAGGCGCAAUGAAAGUGAAGGUCGGCCUCGCGCCGACCGAGGGAGGAUGGGCCGCGUCACGAUGCGGUCCCGCACUCCCGGGGCGUCUCGUUCUCAUUGCGAGAAGAGGCGCACCCAGAGCGUACACGUUGGGACCCG